GUAAAUAAUUAAGGGCGUAUGGUGGAUGCCUAGGCUCUCAGAGGCGAAGAAGGACGUGAUAAGCUGCGAAAAGCUCCGUUUAGGUGCAAAUAACCUUUGAUGCGGAGAUCUCCGAAUGGGAUAACCCAAUAUGUUGAAGACAUAUUAUACCGUAAGGUAGGCAAACGCAGGGAACUGAAACAUCUAAGUACCUGCAGGAGAAGAAAACAAACGUGAUUCCCCCAGUAGCGGCGAGCGACCGGGGAUAAGCCCAAACCGUUAUUGUUUCGGCAGUAGCGGGGUAGUAGGACUGCGACAUUGAUGAAAUAAAUGAAAUGGAACACUUUGGAAAAUGUGAUCACAGAGGGUGAUAAUCCCGUACAUGCAAGUUUAUGAAUCAUAGCAGUAUCCUGAGUAAGUCGGGACACGUGUAAUCCUGACCGAAUCCGCCGGGACCAUCCGGUAAGGCUAAAUACUCCAGAGAGACCGAUAGUGAACCAGUACCGUGAGGGAAAGGUGAAAAGCACUUCGAACAGAAGAGUGAAAUAGUCCCUGAACCCAUACGCCUACAAGCUGUCGGAGCCGCUUCGUGCGGUGACGGCGUGCCUUUUGCAUAAUGAGCCUACGAGUUACUCAUCACCAGCGAGGUUAAGUACUUCAGGUACGUAAGCCGAAGCGAAAGCGAGUCUGAAUAGGGCGUCAAGUUGGUGGUGGUAGACGCGAAACCUUAGUGAUCUACCCAUGGGCAGGGUGAAGGUUUGGUAACACAAACUGGAGGCCCGAACCGGUAAACGUUGAAAAGUUUUCGGAUGACCUGUGGGUAGGGGUGAAAGGCCAAUCAAACUGGGAAAUAGCUCGUACUCUCCGAAAUGCAUUUAGGUGCAGCCUCUGUUGUUUUGUUCUAGAGGUAGAGCUACUGAUUGGAUGCGAGGGCUUCACCGCCUAUCAAAUCCGGCCAAACUCCGAAUGCUAGAACAUGAAGACAGGGAGUGAGCCAGCGGGUGCUAAGGUCCGUUGACGAAAGAGGGAGAACUCAGACCAUCAGCUAAGGUCCCCAAUUAUAUGCUAAGUUGGAAUUAAAACGGGGUGGGACUGCUUAGACAGCUAGGAUGUUGGCUUGGAAGCAGCCAUUCAUUUAAAGAGUGCGUAACAGCUCACUAGUCGAGCGGUCCUGCAUGGAUAAUACGCGGGCAUAAGCAUAUAACCGAAGCUAUGGGAUUGUAGAUGAUACAAUCGGUAGGAGAGCAUUCCAUUCAGCAUAGAAGCAGUACCGUGAGGUAUUGUGGAGCGGAUGGAAAAGCAAAUGUAGGCAUAAGUAACGAUAAUGCGGGUGAGAACCCCGCACGCCGAAAGAUCAAGGAUUCCCCGGCAAUGUCAAUCAUCCGGGGGUAAGUCGGAUCCUAAGGGUAAGCCGAGUGGCGAUCCCGAUGGCAAACAGGUUAAUAUUCCUGUACUGAUCAUAACUGCGAUGCAGCGACGCAGAGGUGACACUGCUGCGUACUGACGGAAUAGUACGUUGAAACCCGUAUUCUUUGAUACCGGUAGUGAAGCACGCCGGUAGAGAUGAAAGGUGAUAGUACCGCAAUGCUUCGGUUGCGCGGAUAAUGCAGGUAAGCUGACUGCCAAGAAAACCUGCUAAGCUUCAGGUAAUGAUCAUCCGUACUGUAAACGGACACACGUGAUCAGGUAGAAAAUACUAAGGCGCUCGAGAGAUUCAUGGUUAAGGAACUAGGCAAAAUGGUCCUGUAACUUCGGGAUAAAGGACGCUCUUGUGAAAGAGCCGCAGAUAAUAGGCCCAGGCGACUGUUUACCAAAAACACAUGGCUAUGCUAAUUCGCAAGAAGAUGUAUAUGGCCUGACACCUGCCCGGUGCCGGAAGGUUAAGAGGAGAGCUCAGAGGCAACUCGAAGGUUUGAAUUGAAGCCCCGGUAAACGGCGGCCGUAACUAUAACGGUCCUAAGGUAGCGAAAUUCCUUGUCGGGU
rnacentral:rRNA from 1 species